UCUUCUGAAGCCUCUCCCUUUGGCUUGUAGAUGGCCAUCUUCUCCCUGUGUCUUCACACGGUCUUCUCUCUGUGCGCAUCUUUCUCAAAUUUUCUCUUA